UACAGAGGGUGCGAGCGUUGUUCGGAAUUAUUGGGCGUAAAGGGCGCGUAGGCGGUGCGGUAAGUCACCUGUGAAAUCUCCUGGCUCAACUGGGAGCUUGCAGGCGAAACUGCCGUGCUGGAGUGUGGGAGAGGUGCGUGGAAUUCCCGGUGUAGCGGUGAAAUGCGCAGAUAUCAGGAGGAACACCAAUGGCGAAGGCAGCUCGCUGGGACGUGACUGACGCUGAGACGCGAAAGCGUGGGGAGCAAACAGG
rnacentral:rRNA from 1 species